UACAGGGGGGGCAAGCGUUGUUCGGAAUUACUGGGCGUAAAGGGUUCGUAGGUGGCCAACUAAGUCAGACGUGAAAUCCCUCGAGUCUAACUGGGGAACUGCGUCCGAUACUGGAUGGCUUGGAUUUGGGAGAGGGAUGCGGAAUUCCAGGUGUAGCGGUGAAAUGCGUAGAUAUCUGGAGGAACACCGGUGGCGAAGGCGGCAUCCUGGACCAAUAUUGACGCUGAGGAGCGAAAGCCAGGGGAGCAAACGGG
rnacentral:rRNA from 1 species